ensembl:lncRNA
CUAAGGGAUGGUGUUUCAAGGAAAUUAUUGUGCUUUAUUGGUAGCUGAGCAUUGUAACUCUUGUCCUGCUUUAAGCUUGUGAAUGAUUAACUCAAUUCGCCUUGCUGUAGCAUGAACAACUUUUAUGCAUUUUUUUUAACUACAUUUAUUACUUAGUACAUACCUACUUCUUAGAGUGUAACUGAUUGCUUUUGCUGACAGCUAGCUUUAUUGGACCUUCAACUGAAGCCUUGGCUUACUGGCUCUUGCAUUUAUUGCUGCAGAUCUGUGUUAAAACAUCAUUUUCAAGCCAUUGUGAACCAGCCACGGUAGAAAGGAGAACGAAGACACCUUCAAGCCCUGUUCACUGACAUACUGCACAUGCAUUUGUGGUAUACUGAACUUCAAUCCUGUCUUAACGCCAGCAUGGAAGUGUGUCAGUCACCAAAUGAAGAGCAAAACAAGUUUAUGGAGAGUCCAUCUGAAUAGGCUGCAUGUUAUUUUAACCAGACAGCUCAGCGAAACCGGCUGAAGUCUGAGAGCUGAAGAGCAGUCUGUGCAGGGCUGAGGAUGCUGCCUGGGGCCAGCAAGAUGCUUUGAGGCUUCCAUCUAUGGAAAAUUGCAGUGCACUAGCACAUGGUCUCUGGGGAUCAAGCCUGAACACAGUCAUUUUCCUUCACUUUUGCACGCAAAAUCUCUUACUGUAACCACAUGUGGACAUCAUGCUGCUUUGUUCUGUCCUGCUCCAGCCAGCCGAGUCCUUUCCUGAUCUGUGUCACAGAGCCUUGCGCCUCUCUACAAAGGAGAUUCAGUAUCUCAUAUCCUUUUUCAUAUUUUCCCUGUCUUUUUUUUUUCUUUUUUUCUGCCCAUAUCACAAAGAACCAUCACAUCUGAGACAGGUGUUUGCUCCCUUUUGGAAAUCACCGCUGAUGUUUAAUCCAAGCCAUCUGCAUCCAUCUCCAGCUAUUGCAGACAUGCAGUGAGAUGUCUUUAGCAACUGCUGUGUCCUGGGUUGCUAUGAAUGGACUUCACAUGCCCUUGCAGCAAUGUUGAUGCUCCUCCUAUUCAAGCAUGUGGUCAGUUGUUUUGGUUGGCUCCAUCUCCUCGGAUAGAUUUCCAUGAGAAGAGGGGCUGAUGAAUCCACUGAUUUAACUCCGUCUUUGAUGGAUGAUAACAGAGUCAUUUUCUGGCCCAACAGAGUGUAAAAAUGAAAAUAAAUGAGAUAAUCUUCCGUGAAGUCUAAGCUAUAACCACUAAUGCCCAAGUCUCUUCCAUCAGAACUCCUGCACAGAGCCAGUGGAGUAAUGCUAGACCUUAAAGACAGAUUUUCCUGCACACUGAGGACUUGUCAAGCUCUGGAGUCUGACUGCAUUUCUCAGGAUCCACCUGACCUUCUUGCUCUCCUGAGGUGAAUAAGAAUAUAAGAAAUAAGAAAUGAAGAAUAAACCACUUCUGGUUUCUGAAGAGUUCUGCCUGAAAUCUUGGGUUUAAAACCAGGAAACAAGGCGCAGAAGCCCACCUUUGUCAUGAGAGUCCUGUAACUUCCCAGGUGAUCGCCAGUGGGAAAUCGUUGGGCCUUUUGCAGGUCUCUGUGAAGCACACACAAAUGUCCCGAGAAGAUGCAUGCAGUUGGUCCACACCUCUCCUGGAGUGCCACAGGACCCCCCCCUGAGAUCUUGCCAGGGCCUGGCAGUGCUCUGCAG